rnacentral:rRNA from 1 species
AACGAACGCUGGCGGCAUGCCUAACACAUGCAAGUCGAACGAGACCUUCGGGUCUAGUGGCUCACGGGUGCGUAACGCGUCGGAACCUUCCUUUAGGUUCGGACUACCUCAGAGAAAUGUGAGCUAAUACCGGAUGAUGUCUUCUACCCAAAGAUGUAUCGCCUUUAAAUGGGCCUGCUUUGGAUUUGCAAGUUGGUGAGGUAAAGGCCUACCAAGGCGAUGAUGCAUAGCUGGUGUGGGAGCAUGAUCAGCCACACUGGGACUGAGACACGGCCCAGACUCCUACGGGAGGCAGCAGUGGGGAAUAUUGGACAAUGGGCGAAAGCCUGAUCCAGCCAUGCCGCGUGAGUGAUGAAGGCCUUAGGGUUGUAAAGCUCUUUUAACCGAGAUGAUAAUGACAGUAUCGGGAGAAUAAGCGCCGGCUAACUCCGUG